AUUGAACGCUGGCGGCAUGCCUUACACAUACAAGUCGAACGGUAACAGGUCUUCGGGUGCUGACGAGUGGCGAACGGGUGAGUAAUACAUCGGAACGUGCCUAGUAGUGGGGGAUAACUACUCGAAAGAGUGGCUAAUACCGCAUGAGAUCUACGGAUGAAAGCAGGGGAUCGCAAGACCUUGUGCUACUAGAGCGGCAGAUGGCAGAUUAGGUAGUUGGUGGGAUAAAAGCUUACCAAGCCGACGAUCUGUAUCUGGUCUGAGAGGACGAUCAGCCACACUGGGACUGAGACACGGCCCAGACUCCUACGGGAGGCAGCAGUGGGGAAUUUUGGACAAUGGGCGCAAGCCUGAUCCAGCAAUGCCGCGUGCAGGAUGAAGGCCUUCGGGUUGUAAACUGCUUUUGUACGGAACGAAAAGCCCUGGGUUAAUACCCUGGGGUCAUGACGGUACCGUAAGAAUAAGCACCGGCUAACUACGUGCCAGCCGCCGCGGUAACAC
rnacentral:rRNA from 1 species